rnacentral:rRNA from 1 species
GGAAGGUUUGGCACCUCGAUGUCGGCUCAUCGCAUCCUGGGGCUGAAGCAGGUCCCAAGGGUUGGGCUGUUCGCCCAUUAAAGCGGUACGCGAGCUGGGUUUAGAACGUCGUGAGACAGUUCGGUCCCUAUCCUCUGUAGCUGUAGGAGAUUUGAGGAAAGCUGUCCGUAGUACGAGAGGACCCGGAUGGACGCAGCUCUCGUGUGCCAGUUGUUCCGCCAGGAGCACGGCUGGUUGGCGACCUGCGGAAGGGAUAAGCGCUGAAAGCAUCUAAGCGCGAAGCCUGUUCCAAGAUGAGAUCUCCCACUGGUACAACCAGGUAAGGCCCGUGGCAGAUAACCACGUUGAUAGGCCGGAUGUGUAAGCGCAGCAAUGCGUUCAGCAGACCGGUACUAAUCGGCCGAGGGCUUGGUAUC